GAUGAACGCUGGCGGCGUGCCUAAUACAUGCAAGUCGAGCGAACGGACGAGAAGCUUGCUUUUCUGAUGUUAGCGGCGGACGGGUGAGUAACACGUGGAUAACCUACCUAUAAGACUGGGAUAACUUCGGGAAACCGGAGCUAAUACCGGAUAAUAUUUUGAACCGCAUGGUUCAAAAGUGAAAGACGGUCUUUCUGUCACUUAUAGAUGGAUCCGCGCUGCAUUAGCUAGUUGGUAAGGUAACGGCUUACCAAGGCAACGAUGCAUAGCCGACCUGAGAGGGUGAUCGGCCACACUGGAAGUGAGACACGGUCGAGACUCCUGAGGGAGGCAGCAGUAGAGAAUCUUACGCAAUGGGCGAAAGCCUGACGGAACAACGCCGCGUGAGUGAUGAAGGUCUUCGGAUCGUAAAACUCUGUUAUUAGGGAAGAACAUAUGUGUAAGUAACUGUGCACAUCUUGACGGUACCUAAUCAGAAAGCCACGGCUAACUACGUG
rnacentral:rRNA from 1 species